AUUGAACGCUGGCGGCAGGCCUAACACAUGCAAGUCGAACGGUAACAGGAAGAAGCUUGCUUCUUUGCUGACGAGUGGCGGACGGGUGGGUAAUGUCUGGGAAACUGCCUGAUGGAGGGGGAUAACUACUGGAAACGGUAGCUAAUACCGCAUAACGUCGCAAGACCAAAAAGGUGGGCCUCCGGGCCUCUCGCCAUCGGAUGUGCCCAGUUGGGAUUAGCUAGUGGGUGGGGUAACGGCUCACCUAGGCGACGAUCCGUAGCUGGUCUGAGAGGAUGACCAGCCACACUGGAACUGAGACACGGUCCAGACUCCUACGGGAGGCAGCAGUGGGGAAUAUUGCACAAUGGGCGCAAGCCUGAUGCAGCCAUGCCGCGUGUAUGAAGAAGGUCUUCGGGUUGUAAAGUACUUUCAGCGGGGAGGAAGGGAGUAAAGUUAAUACCUUUCCUUAUUGACGUUACCCGCAGAAGAAGCACCGGCUAACUCCGUG
rnacentral:rRNA from 1 species